rnacentral:rRNA from 1 species
UACGUAGGUGGCAAGCGUUGUCCGGAUUUACUGGGCGUAAAGGAUGCGUAGGCGGACAUUUAAGUCAGAUGUGAAAUACCCGAGCUUAACUUGGGUGCUGCAUUUGAAACUGGGUGUCUAGAGUGCAGGAGAGGUAAGUGGAAUUCCUAGUGUAGUCGGUGAAAUGCGUAGAGAUUAGGAAGAACACCAGUGGCGAAGGCGACUUACUGGACUGUAACUGACGCUGAGGCAUGAAAGCGUGGGGAGCAAACAGG